GUAGAUGAUAGAUAUGGUUAGGAGAAAAAGCAAGAUUUGAUUUAUGUUGGAAAAUUGUGAGCCAAAGAGUAGUGAUGAAAUAUCAAUUACAGAUGACAGCAACUUUUGAAGUAGCAAGGUGGCUUCUGACUAAGUGAAAUAAAAUUAAGCAUAUGAAGAUAGUCAACAUGAAUGGAAGAUGUGCUUGCUUUUCUCCUUAUCAUCUUCUGUGGUCUACACAUAAUGUGCAAUUCCAAAGGUGCCUUGGACCCACC
rnacentral:lncRNA from 1 species